rnacentral:lncRNA from 1 species
CGGAGACGCUGCUGGGCGGGAGCCUUGGUGUCUCAGGCGGCCAAUGGCUUUAUCUGGAGCGGAGGCUGGUCGCGGGUCUCGGCUGAGGCUGACGCGGAAAAAGCCGCCCGCGCCCCGCUCCUCCUCUUGCUCCGGGCCUGGCGGCGGGGGGCAGGAGGGCAGAACUUCAAACAACCGCUCUUGGUUGGACCAAGAAGGGUUAAAUGAGUCUGAUGAAUUGUGGAAGCUGCUGGUAUUGAGAAGUGUGAACUCCAGUCUGCAUCAGGCCAGCCAGGAAAUGCCAGAUUUACCAGCAUUCUUUGACCAGAGCGCCAGGCAUAAUGAGAACUCACAGCAACCAGCCCUCUUUAAAGUUGGGACAGAAGAGUUUCAGUGGACACCUUUCCCACCUGCCUUCGCAUUUGCUGGUCAGUUAAAAAACCCAGACUCUUCUCAUUUCACAAAGGAGAAACCUACUCAGAUACUCUAUGAACAAGAGCAGAGAGUGGAUCAGAGCGGCGGGCCUUCCUGCCAGGGGGCCUCUGCUCUGGGCCGUGAGAACCUGGAACCGAGGCCUGACGGUGGAGCCGGGGUGAAAAGGCCUUCGGAGUGGAGAGACAGUAGCAUCGGGGCUUCGAAGAGCGGGCUUCCACAACACGCACCACUCUCCCAGCUCAGGAAAAAACAGAGACUGUGGGUGGAGGGUGAUACCUCCUCCCCAGCAUCUCCCCAGACCCUCACCUUGGAGGUGAGCCAUCCAGGGCGCUCUCCUUUGAAGAAACCCAGUCGCAGCCUUUGCUCAGAAGGUGCCAGAGUAGAAAAAGAUGCCACCUCUGCUGCCGUGAGCCAGGGAAUAGUGGUACUUGAUGGCUGUCCGAUGUGCCAGGUCCCAUUUACUGGAAAGUUCUCCCAGCUGGAUAUUGAUAGUCAUCUUGCUAAAUGCUUGUCAGAGAGUAUUGAAGAUGUGAUAUGGUAAACUUAGUAGGAAGAACCCACAAAUAUGACCUCCCCUACAGCAGAGUAGGGGAUCACAAGAAAUGGCCCCAGGCACCCCUGGCCCUGUGUGUAAACAUCCCCUCCCCGACUCUGGAUGCUCUGAAGAGCCCUUCCCAAGGCACGCUUCCCCGAGUCAUCACUGGGAUGUCCUGGGAGGCAGUGUCCUGGCUGGGAUGACUUCUUGACUCUGCCUUUUAAAAGUAGACAAUAAAAAUUCCAUUUUGAAUAUUGAAUGGCUAUUU